GACGAACGCUGGCGGCGUGCUUAACACAUGCAAGUCGAACGCUGAAGACCUGGCUUUUGUUGGGUUGGAUGAGUGGCGAACGGGUGAGUAACACGUGAGUAACCUGCCCUCUUCUUUGGGAUAACGCCCGGAAACGGGUGCUAAUACUGGAUAUUCACUGAUCUUCGCAUGGGGGUUGGUGGAAAGGUUUGUUCUGGUGGGGGAUGGGCUCGCGGCCUAUCAGCUUGUUGGUGGGGUGAUGGCCUACCAAGGCUUUGACGGGUAGCCGGCCUGAGAGGGUGACCGGUCACAUUGGGACUGAGAUACGGCCCAGACUCCUACGGGAGGCAGCAGUGGGGAAUAUUGCACAAUGGGCGAAAGCCUGAUGCAGCGACGCCGCGUGAGGGAUGGAGGCCUUCGGGUUGUAAACCUCUUUCGCUCAUGGUCAAGCCGCAACUGUGGGGUGUGGUGAGGGUAGUGGGUAAAGAAGCGCCGGCUAACUACGUGC
rnacentral:rRNA from 1 species